CCUACGGGAGGCAGCAGUGAGGAAUAUUGGGCAAUGGACGAGAGUCUGAACCAGCCAAGUAGCGUGAAGGAUGACUGCCCUAUGGGUUGUAAACUUCUUUUAUAUGGGAAUAAAACGUUCCACGUGUGGGAUUUUGUAUGUACCAUAUGAAUAAGGAUCGGCUAACUCCGUGCCAGCAGCCGCGGUAAUACGGAGGAUCCGAGCGUUAUCCGGAUUUAUUGGGUUUAAAGGGAGCGUAGGUGGAUUGUUAAGUCAGUUGUGAAAGUUUGCGGCUCAACCGUAAAAUUGCAGUUGAAACUGGCAGUCUUGAGUACAGUAGAGGUGGGCGGAAUUCGUGGUGUAGCGGUGAAAUGCUUAGAUAUCACGAAGAACUCCGAUUGCGAAGGCAGUUCACUGGACUGCAACUGACACUGAGGCUCGAAAGUGUGGGUAUCAAACAGGAUUAGAUACCCUUGUAGUC
rnacentral:rRNA from 1 species